AUUGAACGCUGGCGGCAUGCUUUACACAUGCAAGUCGAACGGUAACAGGCCGCAAGGUGCUGACGAGUGGCGAACGGGUGAGUAAUGCAUCGGAACGUGCCCAGUCGUGGGGGAUAACGCAGCGAAAGCUGCGCUAAUACCGCAUACGAUCUCUGGAUGAAAGCGGGGGACCGAAAGGCCUCGCGCGAUUGGAGCGGCCGAUGUCAGAUUAGGUAGUUGGUGGGGUAAAGGCCCACCAAGCCAACGAUCUGUAGCUGGUCUGAGAGGACGACCAGCCACACUGGGUCUGAGACACGGACCAGACUCCUACGGGAGGCAGCAGUGUGGAAUUUUGGACAAUGGGCGCAAGCCUGAUCCAGCAAUGCCGCGGGCAGGAAGAAGGCCUUCGGGUUGUAAACUGCUUUUGUACGGAACGAAACGGUCCGGGUUAAUACCCUGGGCUAAUGACGGUACCGUAAGAAUAAGCACCGGCUAACUACGUGCCAGCAGCCGCCGUAAUAC
rnacentral:rRNA from 1 species